UCAAAAUAAAAUCUCAGAAGGUGGAUGACUUGGCUCAUAACGCCGAUGAAGGACGUGGCUAACAGCGAAAUGCCCUGGCGAGCCGUAUGCAGGCGCUGAACCAGGGAUCUCCGAAUAGGACUUCCUAUUAAAAGCUCGAAAGAGCAGGGAACACCGGGAAUUGAAACGUCUUAGUACCGGUAGGAAAAGAAAUCAAUUGAGAUGGGGUUAGUAAGAGCGACCGAACACCUCAUAGGGCAAACCGAAGCUGGUGUUGAAAGACAUUAGCGAUGUGGAGUGACGGCACAAACUCUCUUUAAUGAGAACUUCCUCGCUUGGUAAUGCAAAGUCGCCUGGAAAGGCGUGCGAAAAAGGGUGAUAGCCCCGUAGCAGCACCUGGGCAGGUAGUGAUUGUGUUCGCGAGUACUGUUCCCCGGAUAUGGAGCAGGAACAUGGGAGGCAUCAACUUCCAACCCUAAACACGUUAUGAGUCCGAUAGCAAAUAGUACCGUGAGGGAACGUUGAAAAGUACCCUUAGCAGGGAGUUAAAAGGCCUGAAACCUUCUGAGUUCAGAAAGGUAGUGCACUUUGGUGUUCUACCGUGCGUUUCGAAUAACGUGCCAGGGAGUGUUUUCGAGUGGCAAGACUAAUUCAUACACUGAAGGAGUCAAAGCGAAAGCAAUAAGCUCGCAACCCGCAAGGGCGAGGAGCAUGGUGUGAAAGCGCCAGAAGUCACUCGAUGACGACCCGAAACCGGUCGAUCUAAUCCCGGGCAAGAUGAAGCGCGGGUAAAACCGCGUGGAGGUCUGAAGAGGUGCUGUGUGCACGCGUUCUUCUGACCUAGGAUUAGGGGUGAAAAGCCAAUCGAGACCGGUGAUAGCUGGUUCCUGCCGAAGUAGGCCGUAGUCUAGCCUCGAACGAGACUGCUUGAGUUGUAGAGCGACGAAUCGCGGGUUAAGGGCCCGAAAGGGCUCGGCUUGCUGUUCAACUCCGAAUGCUUAAGCGUUGUAGACUUCGAGAGACGGGGCGUCUGGCGUAAGGUUGGCGUCCGAAAGGGGAACAACCCUGACUUUGGUUAAGGUCCCUAACAGCUGAUUAAGUGUGAAAGGGUGAAGGAAGUCUUUGUCUUGAGACAGCGGGGAGGUUGGCUCAGAAGCAGCCAUCCUUUAAAAAGUGCGUAACAGCUUACCCGUUGAGGACAGAGGUUCCCAAAAUGGACGGGACUAAAUCAGCGACCGAUACCAAAGACUUCCCAUAAGGAAGUGGUAGGCAGGCGCCUGGCGUGGGCAGAACUCAACCUGAGAGGGAAGAGGGACCACGUCGGAAUGAAAAUCCUGGCGGUAGUAGGCUCGUAGUAGUGUGAGAAUCACUACCAUCGAAAGGGCAAGGGUUCCUUGCCAAUGUCGAUCAGGCAAGGGUUAGUCGGCCCUAACUGAACUCCUAAUAGGAGUCUGUGAGGAAUGGAAAACUGGUUAAUAUUCCAGUACCGCACAAGUAUGUGAGGGAAACCUCGUACUGCAAAUUAACGCUUUUGGCUACAAAGACACGUGCCGUCGCGCGUGCAAAAUGUGACACAUUACAGGAGUAUCGUUAUGAUGAGAAUGUGAUGAAACACAACAGGCCUAGUUUACUAGGUUCUUUGGAUGCCUGGAGCCCGUGAAAAACAUUUGCAGAAAAAUCUUGUGCGACCGUACCGAGAUCCGGCACUGGUGCCCUAGGUGAGAAGCCUGAGAUGUGAAGGAGCUUAUCUGGUUGAGGGAACUCGGCAAUUUAGCCCCGUGCCUUAGGCAUAAGGGGUCCCUGCAUUCGUGCCGGUAUAGGUGGCGAGUGCAGGGGGCACUGACUAGGGGGUCCCGACUGUUUAACAAAAACACAACUGGCUGCUAAGUCGUAAGGCUUCGUACAGCCGGUGACGUCUGCCCAGUGACAGUAUCUGAAACCUCGGUUCAACGGGGCCAAGGACUGUUUAACGGCGGGAGUAACUAUAACUCUCUUAAGGUAGCGUAAUGCCUUGUCGUUUGAAUGGCGACGUGCAUGAAGGGCGCAAUGAGGUCCCCACUGUCCCUAGCUGCAAACCUCCGAAUACACCCUUCUGGUGCAAAGGCCAGAGAUCUCCAGUGGGAAGUGAAGACCCCGUGAAACUUUACUGUAGCCUGUUGCUGUAACGCG
rnacentral:rRNA from 1 species